rnacentral:lncRNA from 1 species
CGGGGAUUGAACUCGGGACCUUGUGCUUGCGAGGCAGGCGCCAGCACCACUGAGAAAUUCUUUUUAUCAGGCGUAAUAAUCCAUACAGGGAAGAUGACAGUAAUUGGGAGAAGCCACUAGCACUGGCCACAGCUUUAAGAGGUGCGCAGCUUCUGACCGGGGGGAACAGGUCGGUGGUGGAGUUGAGCAGACCCCAUGCCAGCUGCCCUGAAGCCCCGCAGCCUGUCCAUUUGUUUGGGGACCCACCUUGGGCUGCCAGCUCCGAGAUGCUUCCUAGAAGUACAAGGCCUUGUGCAGACGUCAGGAAAUGGGCAGCGAAGUUGCGACCACUUCUGUUUCCACUGGGCAAACAGCACAAGGAGCUUGGAGGAAGCCGGGACCUUCAGGAUGUCCCUGUGCAUGGCCGGUCCCUGGGAUGUUUCAAAGACCUGAAGAAUGAAAGAAGUGCUUCCUUUCCUUUGGCAAAGGAACUUAGCUAUCACCUUAACUGCUUUCAGUUGAUCCAAUACUUGUCAUUUCUUUGUCCUGAGGGCAUUCAAAAUACCGUUUCCCCGCGCUUGUGGGACACACAGUACGUUUUUGUUAGUUGCAUUCGCCCUACGGUGACUACAACCGCACAGUUUCUUCUUCCCACCUCAUGGUAACAUUGUACCCGUUGCACUCACCUGCCCUGGACCCUUGUGAUCACUAUUCUACCCUCAACUUUUAGGACAUAGUUUUAAAAAUUGCAAUUAUGAG